CCUGUCCCUACUACCUAAUCCUAGGUAGCAGCAUUUCUCCUGGCUCCCCCCAGCCUCAAGCUCCAGAUCAACUGCAAGAACAAACCAGCAAUUUCAGGAGGACCCACAGACCCUUUGAAAGAAGAGGACUCCUCCUGCAGGAUCCGGGGGACACCCCAAAUACUGUAAGAUCCCCUCAGGGACCACUGAUGAAGUUCACAUGGCCAAACUCAAACUGCAAGGAGGAAGGAAAAACAAGCACUGGAAUUUUCACCUUUAUAGUGAGAAGUGGGUACUUCCAGCAGAGUUAGGAGACAAUAGAAGACAAGAAAUGGAAAAAAGAAUCUAUGACGGUCACAGUAACCAGAGAUCUGCAAUGAAGUUGCCUUGCAUAAAAUAUUGAGGGAUCGAUUCAAGAUGGCGCAGUAAGAACAACUCAGGAUUGCAGCUCUCAGUAAAGGCACAGAGGGAAACAUCUUUAUUGGCCAUCGUCUAAGUCAAUAUUGUUGCAAGGGACAUUUGAUCAAGCUAAUGAAACACUGGACUCCUUCAGCUUCAACAAAUGGAAGAUGAAUAAAACAAACUGUUAUCAUUUUCCAUGGGGCCAAGAAAAGAAAUUCUGCAGACAGAACAGCUGUAUUCUCUUUAUGGUCUGACAACACACAAAAAGAACAACAGUCAUUGCUUUCACCAGAAAUCUAGGCUUAAGCCCAUGGUGGUCUGACUUUACUUCCCAUCCCCCACCCUCCCAGGACUUUUCUCUAAAGACAGCUAUGCAUGCCUCUUUUGUUGUCAUAUGUGUACACAGAGACAUUGCCGCCAAAGGCCAGGGUCUCUGUGGAAUUGCUCUACACUUCCCUUGUUGUUCUCCUACCCCUCACUUAUCAACCCAACUAUUGGGAGAGAGUGUUUUCUGUUCUGUUCAUCCCACCCUUGGACUAUUCCACAGGUGAGUGACUUUCAAAGUUUUCUGAGAGGGGCCCAGCCUACACCUAUAUGCACACUGACAUCCACACACUGUUGGGCAUGUUUCUCUGCACACAGAAGCUACUCAGGUAAUUUUUGCUUUACUCCCCUUUACCUAUCACCAACUCAAAGUUUGAUUCGUUUAUAACCUGUGCUGAGACACUUAGAAUGCCCCAAGAAGAAAAUGCUGUUCACAGCCACUGACCUACCCAAAUUCUUAUUCCAGCGAGUCACAUUACUCUUGUAAUAUGAAACCCUUGGUGGUCUUGCUUUUGAGGGUCACUCAGCUUCACUGCAACUGGGGUACACACAGACAAGACUCCGUCAGUCCCAGGCAGCUUUCCUGAGCCUUGGGCAGACCAACUUACCACGAAUCUUAGGCAUCUGUUGUCCCUUGCUGCCUAUCUGUAAGGAAUAAACCUGCUUUGUGUAACUUGUGUAUGAAUGCUCUAUCUCACUAGACAACUGCAAGUGAUAGAAAUUGAGACACCCCAAUGUGUAGUGUGGUGAGAUAUUUAGAGUCUUCCCCUAGGAUUGAAACCAGUAUACAGUGUACCUGCCACAGAGGGUUCAAGCAUUGGAUAUGAGUUUAGACAAAGUGUUCGAAAGUGUUCCUUCAAUCCUUAGAUUCUGUAAUUCUUGGGUAGAAAAUAUUUCUACUAAAAAAAAUUCUGACAUCUCUAUUUUUCCCUGCAUUUCUUCCUAUCAUUUUUCUGAUACAUAACCCCUGAUGUUGUACCCCCUGAAAAAUGACCCAACUUCUCAAAUGUCUGUGUCCUUAUUGAGUACAUUAAACUCUCCCUUAAUGCCCACCAUUUGGAAAAACCAUGUAUUAUAUUUAAGCCCUAAGUACAUUGCUUGGCAGAAAUACAUCCUGCAGUAUUUUAAAUAUGAGGUCUGUUUAUGGCAUUGCUUC